rnacentral:rRNA from 1 species
GACGAACGCUGGCGGCGUGCCUAAUACAUGCAAGUCGAGCGGACAGAAGGGAGCUUGCUCCCGGAAGUUAGCGGCGGACGGGAGAGUAACACGUGGGCAACCUACCCUGUAGAUCGGGAUAACAUCGAGAAAUCGGUGCUAAUACCGGAUAAUCAUUUGAAGUGCAUGCUUCGAAUGUAAAAGAUGGCUCCGGCUAUCACUACCGGCUGGGCCCGCGGCGCAUUAGUUAGUUGGUAAGGUAAUGGCUUACCAAGGCAACGAUGCGUAGCCGACCUGAGAGGGUGAUCGGCCACACUGGGACUGAGACACGGCCCAGACUCCUACGGGAGGCAGCAGGAGGGAAUCUUCCGCAAUGGACGAAAGUCUGACGGAGCAACGCCGCGUGAGUGAUGAAGGUUUUCGGAUCGUAAAGCUCUGUUGUUAGGGAAGAACAAGUGCCGUUUGAAUAAGGCGGCACCUUGACGGUACCUAACCAGAAAGCCACGGCUAACUACGUGCCAGCCGCCGCCGUAAGAC